rnacentral:rRNA from 1 species
GACAGAGGAUGCAAGCGUUAUCCGGAAUGAUUGGGCGUAAAGCGUCUGUAGGUGGCUUUUUAAGUCCGCCGUCAAAUCCCAGGGCUCAACCCUGGACAGGCGGUGGAAACUACCAAGCUGGAGUACGGUAGGGGCAGAGGGAAUUUCCGGUGGAGCGGUGAAAUGCGUAGAGAUCCGGAAGAACACCAGUGGCGAAGGCGGCCCGCUGGGCAGUGGCUGACGCUGAGGCGCGACAGCGUGGGGAGCAAACAGG